CAAAGCUCCCAAACAUUGUGGGUACAAGUUGGUCAAGGGAGAGAGAACCAUAACUUUCUCUGCCCCCUACAGAGCCUGUGACAUCAAGGUUCAGAAUCACCAUUAUAUCCUACAUCUGAGCUAUAAACCAGCUAUUGGUAAUGCAAGGACUGUGACCUGAGCUGCCCAGUUGGAGAUCCCAUUAGAACCACAACUCCUGUAACCAGCACAAGGAAGCCACCUCACACAGAGUGCAUGACUUCAAGUAUGGCUGUGGUCUUGCCAUCUGGAUCUCCUAAUGAUGUCUAUGUUGUAGAUGGAAGUGGGCAUAAUGUGCAUGUCAUCUCGGCUCCCAAAACCUGUGGUUAUGCCUUGGAAAAGAAGAGGGAGCUGUUGGUCUUUACUGCCCUUUAUAAAGCCUGUCAUGUUUCA